GACGAACGCUGGCGGCGUGCUUAACACAUGCAAGUCGAACGGAAAGGCCCUGCUUGCCGGGUACUCGAGUGGCGAACGGGUGAGUAACACGUGGGUGAUCUGCCCUGCACUUCGGGAUAAGCCUGGGAAACUGGGUCUAAUACCGGAUAGGAGCCAUUUUUAGUGUGAUGGUUGGAAAGUUUUUUCGGUGUAGGAUGAGCUCGCGGCCUAUCAGCUUGUUGGUGGGGUAAUGGCCUACCAAGGCGGCGACGGGUAGCCGGCCUGAGAGGGUGGACGGCCACAUUGGGAGUGAGAACGGGCCCGGCCCCCUGGGGGGGGGAGGAGGGGGGAAUAUGGAAAAGGGGGGGCAGGCGGGAGGCGGGGAGGCCGGGGGGGGGUGGAGGGCCUGGGGUUUGAAACUUCUUUUCCCAGGGGAGAAGGUUUUUGGUGAGGUUCCUUAAUAAGAAAGCCCCGGCAAACUCGGGG
rnacentral:rRNA from 1 species